UACUCAAGAAAAGGAUUUAAGUCCAGCCUAAAGUCUUCUUAGUUUAUCAAAACGUAACCUCGACUUUAGAGUAAUUCAAAUAAGGUACAGCCUAUUUGAAAAAGGAUACAACCUAAACUAACGGGUAAUGAUUUAACUUUAUAACUAAGUGGGCCUAAAAGCAGCCACCUUUAAAACAGCGUCAAAGCUUCAUUAUAACACACACCUAAUACCAUAAAAAUUUAAUACCCCUUUAAUUCUAUUGAGUAAUUCUAUACUAUUAUAGAAAAUAUAAUGUUAAAACUAGUAACAAGAAGAAGACCUUCUCUUUAAUGCAAGUGUAAAUCAGAAAGGACCUCCCACUGAUAAUUAACCCCUAUGAAACUACAUUAGCAACCUCACAAGAAAACCCUAAUAAAUUUUGAGUUAAUCUAACACAAGAGCAUUACAAGAAAGAUUUAAAGAAAAAGAAGGAACUCGGCAAACAUUAACCUCGCCUGUUUACCAAAAACAUCGCCUCUUGAAUAACUAUAAGAGGUCCAGCCUGCCCAGUGACUUUGUUCAACGGCCGCGGUAUCCUAACCGUGCGAAGGUAGCGUAAUCACUUGUCUUUUAAAUGGGGACUUGUAUGAAUGGCAUCACGAGGGUUAUACUGUCUCCUUUUUCUAAUCAGUGAAACUAAUCUUCCCGUGAAGAAGCGGGAAUAAACAUAUAAGACGAGAAGACCCUAUGGAGCUUUAAACUCAAUAACAAAUACUAACCUUACAUUAACCUUCAGAAUAUUAACCUUAAUUUUAGUAUUAUGAUUAUUAGUUUUAGGUUGGGGUGACCGCGGAGUAAAAAUUAACCUCCACAUUGAACGGGACCUAUCCCUGAGCCAAGAACUACAGCUCAAAGCACCAACAAAUUGACAUUAAUUGACCCAAUAUUUUGAUCAACGAACCAAGUUACCCUAGGGAUAACAGCGCAAUCCACUUCAAGAGCUCCUAUCGACAAGUGGGUUUACGACCUCGAUGUUGGAUCAGGGUCUCCCAGUGGUGCAGCCGCUACUAAAGGUUCGUUUGUUCAACGAUUAAAACCC
rnacentral:rRNA from 1 species